rnacentral:rRNA from 1 species
UUGGAGGGCAAGUCUGGUGCCAGCAGCCGCGGUAAUUCCAGCUCCAAUAGCGUAUAUUAAAGUUGUUGCAGUUAAAAAGCUCGUAGUUGAAUUUCGAGAUCAGUACGCUGGUCGUGCCUUCGGUAUGCACUGGUGUCACUGGUUUCUCCCUUCUGAAGAACCGUCAUGUCAUUAAGUUGGUGUGGCGGGGAAUCAGGACUGUUACUUUGAAAAAAUUAGAGUGUUUAAAGCAGGCUCGCGCUUGAAUACAUUAGCAUGGAAUAAUGAAAUAGGACGGACUGAUUCUAUUUCGUUGGUUUCUAGGAUCACCGUAAUGAUUAAUAGGGAUAGUUGGGGGCAUUAGUAUUCAAUUGUCAGAGGUGAAAUUCUUGGAUUUAUUGAAGACUAACUACUGCGAAGGCAUUUGCCAAGGAUGUUUUCAUUAAUCAAGAACGAAAGUUAGGGGAUCGAAGACGAUCAGAUACCGUCGUAGUCUUAACCAUAAACUAUGCCGACUAGGGAUCGGACGAAGUUAAUUUUAUAAUGACGCGUUCGGCGCCUUACGGGAAAC